UACGGAGGAUGCAAGCGUUAUCCGGAAUGAUUGGCGUAAAGCGUCCGCAGGUGGCUAUGUAAGUCUGCUGUUAAAGAGUCUAGCUCAACUAGAUAAGAGCAGUGGAAACUACAUGGCUAGAGUGCGUUCGGGCAGAGGGAAUUCCUGGUGUAGCGGUGAAAUGCGUAGAGAUCAGGAAGAACACCGGUGGCGAAGGCGCUCUGCUAGGCCGCAACUGACACUGAGGGACGAAAGCUAGGGGAGCGAAUGG
rnacentral:rRNA from 1 species